rnacentral:rRNA from 1 species
UACAGAGGUCCCGAGCGUUGUUCGGAUUCACUGGGCGUAAAGGGUGCGUAGGCGGUUGGAUAAGUCUGACGUGAAAUCUUCGAGCUCAACUCGGAAACUGCAUCGGAAACUAUCCAGCUAGAGGAUUGGAGGGGAGACUGGAAUUCUCGGUGUAGCAGUGAAAUGCGUAGAUAUCGAGAGGAACACCAGUGGCGAAGGCGAGUCUCUGGACAAUUCCUGACGCUGAGGCACGAAAGCUAGGGGAGCAAACAGG